GACGAACGCUGGCGGCGUGCUUAACACAUGCAAGUCGAACGGAGCGAAUGAAAGCUUGCUUUUAUGAGCUUAGUGGCAAACGGGUGAGUAACACGUAGACAACCUGCCGACAGGAUGGGGACAACAUUCCGAAAGGAAUGCUAAUACCGAAUGAAGCGGAGGAGAGGCAUCUCUCUUCCGUGAAAGAUGGCCUCUUUUUAUGCUAUCACCUGUUGAUGGGUCUGCGUCUGAUUAGCUGGUUGGUGAGGUAACGGCUCACCAAGGCGACGAUCAGUAGCCGGUCUGAGAGGAUGAACGGCCACAUUGGGACUGAGACACGGCCCAGACUCCUACGGGAGGCAGCAGUGGGGAAUCUUCCGCAAUGGGCGCAAGCCUGACGGAGCAACGCCGCGUGAGUGAAGAAGGUCUUCGGAUCGUAAAGCUCUGUUGACGGGGACGAACGUGCGGAGUGCGAAUAGCG
rnacentral:rRNA from 1 species